AUUCCUCAUCAUCAUCAUCAUCUUCAACUUCUUCAUUGUUUGUCAUCCCAAUUGUAUACACUUUCUUCUUCUUCUUCUUCAUCUUCUUUGGUUCUUCAUGUUGAUUCAAAUCUCCACUAUCUUCAUUGUCUUCAUCUUCUUCUUCUUCUUUCAUUGUUAAAAUUGAAGAUGUAUCCACAAAUACACCAUUACUCCCACU
rnacentral:lncRNA from 1 species